CCGGAGCCGGCACAGCACCGGGUCGACGCACUCCAGGCUGAGCUCGAAGCAUCAAGGGCCGAGCAGCAAAGGAUGGCUGAGCGGUUGGAGGCUCAAGAGCGCCAGCGAGAGGCCGACCAGCUUGCCCAUCAGCAACAGAUGGCAGAUAUGAUAGCGUUCCUACAGUCGGUUGGGGCCCAAACGGGUGUAGCCCUUCCAGCUACGCUACUGGCUCCACGGCCACCCUCUCAUGUAUUUACUACUCCUAUUAAUACUCCUCCUCCGUCAGCGGGUUCAAACGCGGCACCUGGCAUUUCUCCAACACCUGCCAUCUCGCCGACACCUCCAGAUGAUGGCUCUCCUGCGGUACGCGGCCAAGGUGUCCCUCGUAUCAAUUGGGGGCCUUCACAGUGAGUCAGGUCGACUUAGCUUGAGAUGCAGUUAGUUUGGAGUAUGUGGACUAUGUGGUGAUGGAUUUAUUUUGUUUAAACAUGUGAACUUUGUGGAAUGUGGUUAUUGAACAUGUUGGAGUUAGUUUGGAUGUAUGUGACUUUAGUUUGGAGUAUUUGAACUUGUUACGAUGGACAAAGUGAUGGAAAUAAUCAUUUAUGUGGUA